rnacentral:rRNA from 1 species
UAGGGAAUCUUCCGCAAUGGACGCAAGUCUGACGGAGCAACGCCGCGUGAGUGAGGAAGGAUUUCGGUUCGUAAAACUCUGUUGUUAGAGAAGAACAGCGCAUAGAGUAACUGUUAUGCGUGUGACGGUAUCUAACCAGAAAGCCACGGCUAACUACGUGCCAGCAGCCGCGGUAAUACGUAGGUGGCAAGCGUUGUCCGGAUUUAUUGGGCGUAAAGCGAGCGCAGGCGGUCAAUUAAGUCUGAUGUGAAAGCCCCCGGCUCAACCGGGGAGGGUCAUUGGAAACUGGUUGACUUGAGUGCAGAAGAGGAGAGUGGAAUUCCAUGUGUAGCGGUGAAAUGCGUAGAUAUAUGGAGGAACACCAGUGGCGAAGGCGACUCUCUGGUCUGUAACUGACGCUGAGGUUCGAAAGCGUGGGUAGCAAACAGG